rnacentral:rRNA from 1 species
UACGGGGGGAGCAAGCGUUGUCCGGAUUUACUGGGCGUAAAGGGCGUGCAGGCGGUUUGUUAAGUCUAGGGUGAAAGCUCCCGGCUCAACUGGGAGAGGUCCUUGGAUACUGGCGAACUUGAGGGAUGCAGAGGAAAGUGGAAUUCCCGGUGUAGUGGUGAUAUGCGUAGAUAUCGGGAGGAACACCAGUGGCGAAGGCGGCUUUCUGGGCAUUUCCUGACGCUGAGGUGCGAAAGCGUGGGGAGCGAACAGG